rnacentral:lncRNA from 1 species
UCAUGUUGUUGGCGCCUCGAUCCAAGCGUGGAGGGUGUUAAAGGAAACCUCACCGUGCAAGUCAACUUAUGCCCCCUAAUGUGCCUCGGGAUCGUAGCCGACCAUUGCGUCUCGACAAAGCGCCAAUGCAAAGACCCGCCAAGCUUGCUAUAAAGUUACAGUCCAAUAGCGGUGCUUGCCCCAGCUCGGUCAGAGUUGGUACUUGGUACUUUAUCUCGUUACAAUUGCCACUUAGUUCGCAUGAG